UCCAGAGAGGCAUCUGUGCGGAGGGCCAGCGCCGCGGGUGACUCUGCCUGGCUUCUGUCCUGGGUGGCAAAAGCUACCUCGUCCAAACUUUUUUGCGCAUCCCCUGAAGCCUACAGCGUGGGCGCCGCGUCCCCACCCGUUGCGCCCGUCCUCUCCCUCCCGCGGCCAGGAGCCCUUCGCUUCCCCCCUGCGGCUCCUAGAUGGUGGACCAUAACAGACGGAGUGGCCUUCCAGGCACAGGGACGACCUCGGCCAACAGGAGUUCAGUCGCCAAUCCAUGAACCCACCCGACUUCUCGGAGUAGGCGCUUCUCAGGACAUCAGUGCUAGGCCGACCCCUGGACCCUCCUCCUCCUCGGUCAGCUCCAGCUGAGCUCUUCACCCUCAUUACGCCCGGUCCUGCCCAGCUCACCUGGACAGCCGGCUCCACUGUCCUGCUCUCCACCCGUAGCGGAACCUAUCACAGGCCUCAGGUCUGCGAUCCAUUUCCAGGUGGCCGUCGGUGUGAGGCGAGGCUGUGCGUGGCUGGCCAGGCCUGCGAGUUGAAGCCCUCCGCCCUCCUUGAUUCACUGGCCACUGCAGGGGCAUAUGCUGGCCGUGCCUGUUCCCGACUCGGUUCUGUCCAUCCUUUGGUCCCUGCCACGUUGUCUAGAUUAAGAGCUGACGGAAGGCAGACAGGAAGCCUCCUGGGCAGGCCACAGCCGCUGGGCCGCUCUCCCACUGGGCCCUGAAAGCUGCCGGCUGUGGAGGGCAAGUGCGCGGCCACACUGCGUCCCAGUGACACUGUGCUCACAGAGACAGGCAGGGGCCACGUUUGCAGGCCCCCGCUGACCCUGCCCCGGCAUGCACAGGGGCCAGGCUCUUGGUCUGCGUUACUGGGGGUCAGUAUGGAAUAAGGGAGGGUGACUCUUCCCAUUUUGUUCUUUUUUCUGGUUCUGGGGUGGAACCCAAGCCCAACACGUGCUGAGCGAGCGCUCUCCGCGGAGCUGAGCCUUUAAUCAGAGUUGCAUUGAAUUCAUGGGUCAGUUUGGGGAGAAGUUGACAGCUCAGCAUGUUGAUUCCCUCAACCUUGAACCCUGCAUCAGUCAGCUUUCUGUUACUGUAACAAGUACCUGAAAAAAAGCAGCUCAUAAAGAGAAAAGGUUUAUUUUCA